rnacentral:lncRNA from 1 species
GCGAGACUCCGUGGGGUAGGACCCUCUGAGCCAGGUGAGGGAUAUAAUCUCGUGGUGCGCCGUUUUUUAAGCCCGUCGGAAAGGCGCAGUAUUCGGGUGGGAGUGACCCGAUUUUCCCGAUUUUCCAGGUGCCGUCUGUCACCCCUUUCUUUGAUUAGGAAAGGGAACUCCCUGACCCCUUGCGCUUCCCGAGUGAGGCAAUGCCUCGCCUUGCUUCGGUUUGCGCAUGGUGCGCGCACCCACUGACCUGCGCCCACUGUCUGGCACUCCCUAGUGAGAUGAACCCGGUACCUCAGAUGGAAAUGCAGAAAUCACCCGUCUUCUGCGUCGCUCAGGCUGGGAGCUGUAGACCAGAGCUGUUCCUAUUCGGCCAACUUGGUUCCUCCCCCAACUCGGUGUACUAUUAUGGUAUGAAAUCCUCCUGAUGAACCUGUGAGGGGCUUGGGAGGGCAAGAGUAGGUGUCAUAAGUAGCUUUGACCUUGAGAAGUCUGGAGGUCACUUUAUAUGCUGCCAAAGCACCACUGUCUACUAAGUUUUUGAGGAAACCAUAUUGCUAGAGAAACUGCAAGCCUGAGCAGCCUCCAAUUGUUGAAGACUUACAUCCAUCUUGGACCUCCAAACAUUCAUAAGCAGGAAGCAGGCCUCAAAAACUAUGGCCCCCAAAUGAGGGCUUGUUCCCCAACCCCCACUUUAGACAUGGAGAAGAAGAAUAAUGGACAAGGAGGCUCCUCCCAGAAGGAUCCAAGGACCCCUGAGGUUGGUGGACAAUGGACUUCCAGCACAGAUUGGAAUCAGAACACAAUCAAGGACACUGUCUCUCCAAUAGAAACUCUUCCUAUGUCUGCCCAGAGUAAUUCCUUAACUGUGAUGGACAAAGAGCUGUGGCAUCAUUGCUUUCCAUUUUUUGAAUGAAAGUUAUGGUGCAGUAAUCCUUUCCCUGCUCCAGCAGGUGAGGGGGUGGCAGAGAGGGGCCAAUAAUUUGUCAUUUUGUUCCUAGAUUGCCAGACCAAGAGGAGCUAUGUCUUGGUCUGCAAAAAAGAACCAGACAUUGCCACAAAUCCUGGGCUUGAGCUGAAUGCAGGGACUGGUGGGUUUCUCUGUUGUGUCCCUUGGAGAGGGAGUGAAGACUUCUUAUGCAGUGCCUCUCAACAUAUUCUAACCUUCCUGCCUGCUAGGCUUGCCAUGUGUUGUGUUCCAGACAGUAAAAUUUAAGCAGAAGUUCUGACUUUCUUACUGCUGGGCUAAGGUAGUUACGUACUAGUGUACUAGUGUGUCUCCCCACAAUGAACCUCCCACCUUCUUCCCACAAAGCCCAAGGGAUAAAAUUCAGGGCAAAUUAGAAUCCAAAAGAAGGAGCCACAAAGUGGAAGAAACCUGGAUGCCUGAGUCACUAUGUGGGGAAAACACCAACUAAAAAGCUUUAUGUGAUCCACAUUUGAUAUGAGUGAGAAAUAAAUUUUUGAUUGUUUUAGGCCAUUGAUAUUUUGAGAUUGCAACAACAGCUAGUAUAAGUUAGCCCAAUGCUUUAGGAAAACGUCUAUUUGUUUAUCUAAUCUAUGAAGAUCACUGACUCAUUACUCUGUUUUGUUUUCUUAAUGAACACAAUAUACCAUGUGGGUAAGAGAUAAGGGGAAGGGGUGGAGGGGGGAUUUGGAGCCAGAAGACAAGAAGUUCUCUCUUUGCCUAUUCAUGCGUAUUUAGUAAAUUAACAUUUCCAUGCUGGGUCAUGAUUAUUUUCCCUGACCCUGCCCAGAAGAAAGCAAUCUCCAACUGUAUACUCACUGGCAUUUUGCUUUCAGGGAUACCGUUUUGUAAUUGGGCUCGGUUCAGUCCUCAUGGUCUGAAGAGAAAAUGAUAUACCAUGCUUUAAUAAGAGAUGUUCUGUCUUUAGUGCAAGACCCAGCCCACUGUUUGUAAUAAACUCUGAAGUCUGUGCUUGACAAGUACUACUUACAUACAGAGCAUGUCGUGAAGUAUAACAGAGAAGAUGAAGCCUGGUAAAAUGACACAGUUUGCUUCUCUCUUCAACAAAGGAAACUCUGAUUCUGGUUUUAGAAGGGACCGGCACCUUCUCCUUUCCCUGCCAGAUUUUCCUUCUACCAAGACUGGGGUCCAACUGUGAGCCCUGUGCUUCAGGUCAGGAGAAAUUCAGUAUGUGAAAGCAUUUUGCAAUCCGUAAAGCUUAAAUAUGCAUGCACGUUGUGAGGCAAUAUGGUAUAAAGGAAAGCAGAGGUUUAGACGUCAGUCCCACUCAUUUUAAAUCCUGGGUCCACUGCCCUCUAGCUAGGUAAUUCUUGGAAUGUUUCUCAACUUCUCUGAUCUUCAGUUCCCUCCACUAUAAAAUAAGAUCUAUAAGACCUACUACUUAGGGUGGGAAUAAAAUCAAUAACAUGUGAAUACCUAGCUCAGUGUCUGGUACAUGUUGGUGCUCAAUAAAUGUGUAAUUCCUUCCUUUCCCUUUCCUACCCACAUGCUGUCCUCAGGGUAGAACACAUAGAUGAUUCUUUCUCGUGCCCUGCCUGCCUCAGUACAUUUCUGGAUGUACGGAUUGAGACUUCCUGACUUACGAUUGCAUAAACUCCACAGCAAGUAUCUUUGGCUGUGUUAGUGCAAAUCCCUUGAAUAAUGUCCCAGUUCUCCUCUACGGCAGACUCCGUUGGAUUAAGAAAGAAGGCAACAGAAUGGAAAGAGCAUUCAACUUGGUGUCAAGUCCUGGGUACAGAUCUCUUUUCCAGCCUGUGCACUGUUGGUUAAAUUAGAAAUCUCUCUAAACCCCAAUUUACUCAUAUGGAAAAUGUCAGUUAUAGCUUCCAUAAAAGAACUUCAUGACAUAAAAAAACCUAGCACAAAUAUAAGGUAUUUCAGUAUACUUCCAGUAUAUCUUUGCUUACUCUUAUUGUCCUAUGUGUUAAUCCUACUAAAAAGCCUUGUGUCCCAUGUGUCUUCUCCCACACCUACUGAGUUUGUAAGGCAAGGUAGGUGCUUUGGGCAGGCAUCCAUCCAUGGCAUCACUUCAUCUAUCUUUGCUCAUGUUCAAGAAUGGUUUGGUUUCUUUCAUGCGCGUCCGUGUGAAGAGACCACCAAACAGGCUUUGUGUGAGCAACAUGGCUGUUUAUUUCACCUGGGUGCAGGCGGGCUGAGUCCGAAAAGAGAGUCAGCGAAGGGAGAUGGGGCGGGGCCAUUUUAUAGGAUUUGGGAAGGUAAUGGAAAAUUACAGUCAAAGGGCGUUGUUCUCUGGU